CUCAGGAUGAACGCUAGCGGCAGGCUUAACACAUGCAAGUCGAGGGGCAUCGAGAGAGUAGCAAUACUUUGUCGGCGACCGGCGGACGGGUGCGUAACGCGUGAGCAACUUGCCCGUUUCAGGGGGAUAACCGGUGGAAACGCCGACUAAUACCCCAUAGUACAAUCUUAAGGCAUCUUUUGAUUGUUAAAGAAUUCCGGAAACGGAUAGGCUCGCGUGACAUUAGCUAGAUGGCGGGGUAACGGCCCACCAUGGCGACGAUGUCUAGGGGUUCUGAGAGGAAGGUCCCCCACACUGGAACUGAGACACGGUCCAGACUCCUACGGGAGGCAGCAGUGAGGAAUAUUGGUCAAUGGGCGCAGGCCUGAACCAGCCAAGUAGCGUGAAGGAUGAAGGUUCUAUGGAUUGUAAACUUCUUUUAUACGGGAAUAACAUCACCUACGUGUAGGUGCCUGCAUGUACCGUAUGAAUAAGCAUCGGCUAACUCCGUG
rnacentral:rRNA from 1 species